UCUUCCGAUUUGCAGGGAAUUGUUGAAGGACAACAUGAAGAACUUCUAUUUUCUGGCCACCAUUGUGAUCACGGCAGUGAGCUUCGCAGCAGGGGAAAACGAGCGGAAUGAGAGCACCACAGCUGCGCCGAAUCGAUUCAGGGUGGCAAAUAGCACAAGCGAGUGCCGUCGUCUGUUCUGUGGAGAAGAGUGGAAAGAUGAUUGCCGAAAUGGAUGCUUUUGUGUUUCACGCAAUGCCAGCGAGCCUUUUCUGUGCAUUACGGAUGCAGAAGCAACAUUCUACUAUAGUUCAAGGUAUAACUAACCUCUCCUAACACGACGACGAGCAUUACCACUGCGGCCAAGUGAAAACGCAGUUUUGUAAUAAACGUCAUCCAUGGGACACACAAGAAAAAUAA
rnacentral:lncRNA from 1 species